rnacentral:lncRNA from 1 species
UUUUUUUUUUUUUUCUUCCUGGACCAGUUCUUUAAAAACUAAGUGUUAAAUGAAUAUCUGCAGUGAAUAAUAACAAAUCAUUACAAAUAAUAAAUACAUAAGUAAAAGAUAUAAUAAAAUAAUAAAUACAUAAAUAAAAAUGUUCAUUACUACUGUCAGACGUGGUUGAUACCUUCAGGAUACUUAAGACUUCAGUUAGUGAGAUAAGUGACAAGGCUUUACAAAGUUAAUAAUGGAAGGCUCGAGUCAGAGUUUAGAACAUCGCUGAAAAAAACCAUGCAAACAUAGAUGAUGUACUGUCACAGGUGAGUAACAUAGAGGAUGAAUAUUAGUGGAGUCCAAAGGAGGGCAAGACCAUUUCCCUCCACAGACGUGUUGGUAGCAAAAUCUAAGCUGUACCCUAAAAUACCAAAUGGAGGGCAGGAGAUCUUUCCAUGUGGAUGAACUGACAGAGCAAAAGUAAAGAGAUAGAAAAUAGUUCAGAGAUAGAAGGUAAAUUUCUAUAAUUCUGGUGUAAAAUGAUCUGUUAAAGUGAUCUUUCUAAAUUUAGAGGUACCUAAUUAUGCAUAGCUCUCCUUUGAGACACAUUGUGUCAACUUGACUGCUCUAGUCAGGCUAAAUCACAGUAGGUACUUCAGAACCAUCUAUUUAGGUAGCCCAAAUCACAGCACAGAAAAAGCUGCAUUUCGUUGAUGGUGGCACUGGUGUGUGAAAAGUGUAGGAGAGAUGGGAUCUAGUCUAAAUCCUAGGAAAAUAAAUGGACCCCUGCCACUCUACCAACUGACUAUAAAUUUAAUGAGAAUGAGCAUGCAAACAGCUUCAAAGGCUGCAUGCACAUUAUGAGUUUUAAUCUUUUUGCACUAAAAUUAAUGAAAUCAGUGUCUUUAAUCCCCAAGUUGAAGACCUCCUAUUGAAUUUCAUAUAUCAAACAAUGUUUUUCCAAAAACUUUUUCCUGAUGAAGACUUUGGAAGGAAUAAUGUUUCUUACUCAAAAUAUGUGUUGUCAAACAGCCUAAUUAAUCAUAAAGUAACACAAGAAUUAUAAGCAACACAAGAAUUAUAAAUAUCUGGUGCCUUUUACAUCUUGUUUGAAAGAUUUAACUGUCACACUUCAUUGAAGUGGACACAAUCAACGGGCGAGAAGACAGAUAGUGAUGCAAACUUGAAUAUUAAAAUACAGGAAAUGAAGGACUAUGCUUAUUGAUGUAGGAAUGGAAUGAAGUAUACAUUUUUUUGUAACAACAAAUUAAAACUUCUUUAAAGUUUAAGGGAGAUGAAAGAGCCAAAGAUAUGCAGUCUACGUGGCAUUAGCUAUUUUCCUGGUUGUUUUAAGUACUUCUAUUUACCUAAAAGACAUUAUAUUAAAUUCUUGUAAUAGAUAUUAUAUAAAGCCAAACUAUUAAUCUGGUUUAAAAAACUCACAGAUAAUAGAUUUACUUUUGUGAAUCAUUUUUAAAGCAAUUUAAAAUAAUACUAUUAAAUUAAAAAUUAAUAUAUGAAACUUCACAAUAAGCUAAUGAGUUCAUAUCAGGCCAUCAGAGUGGUUUGGAAUUGUACCUUCAUUUCUCUGAAUCCAUUUAUUUGACAAAUACUUUAAUGGCUAAAAAGAGAAAUCCCUAAGACGGCAUCAUUUGAUGUAAAAAAACAAAACAAAACAAAACAAAAAACAAAUGUAAAGUCUCCAUAAUGGAGAACAAAGUGAGAGAUAUCCAGACUCUUAACCAUAGAGAACAAACUGAUGGUUACCAAAGGGGAGCUGGGUGGGGAGCUGGGGGAAAUAGGUGAUAGGAUUGAGGAGUGUACUUACUGUGAUGAGCAGCUGGUAUCCUAUGGAAGUGUUGAAUCACUAUAUUAUAAGCCUGAAACUAUUAUUACAUUGUAUGUUAACUGGAAUUUAAAUGAAAACACAAAAAAUAGUGAGAGAUAUCAUGUUAAUGUAGCUAUUCGAUUAUUCUUAAUAAUCUUACCCAACACUAACCUAUUUUAUUUUAUUUUUAAAGAUUUCAUUUAUUUAUUUGACACAGAGAGAGAGAGAGAGAGAGAGAGGACAGCAGGGGGAGUGGCAGGCAGAGGCAGAGGGAGAAGCAGUCUCCCCUCUGCACAGAGAGACUGAAAUGGGGCUCUAUCCCAGGAGCCUGA